GAUUUACAGCGAUUAUUAUUUCUUUAAUUCAAUUAAUUCAAAUUAAUAAAUGCACAGUCGGCAAUGGCUAUCAGCAAAAAAAAUCUGGGAGAAACAAGUUAAUGAAUUUAGAAAACUGAGAAAGUUGACAUGAGUACAUGACCUAAGUAAGGCAAAAAUGGAUUUAAAAGAAAUGGGAUAUUUUUACCAAAGAAGGCCGCGCUAAUAUUAUAUUUAAACCGUAUUACCGUAAGUCCGUAACAUUUACUUUGAAUCAAAUUGCCUUAAAAAAAAAUUUAAAUAACGCGCGACAAAUAUUUUGAAGUUGCAUUUGGAAAAUUGGCAACACAAGUAACGACUUAUAACAAAAUGGCCACGGUUAAUCCAUUCACGAAACAUUUCUGCCGGGAUUUAUAUGUUAUACUUGUAAUUAAAAACCAUGGUGAUUGGUGAAGUCGGUGAAGUAAGAAUUGUAGAAAAGUGAAAUAAUGGGAUCUUGAGAUAGUUUUACGACUUAAAGCUGUACGGCAAGCAGGAUAUAAGCAAUAAAUAGAGGUAAAAAGUUAUACUUGAAUGGACUUCACGUCUCUUCAUCGACCACCUUUUAUCAGUAGCAGAAUGUUUUUCAAAAUUGCCUGUUGGAUGACAGCAUUUGAACUUGUCAAUGAAACCAAUGGACUGUUCACAAGCCAGUCAAGAGUAAAUCAAUCUUGCACAAGGAAACCUGGGUAGUGUAAUAUAAAAAACUUUAUACCCAGCACCUAUCUGUGGCACAUUAUGUCACUAAACUUUUGUUUACGGGGCCAUACUCAAUUCAUCACAUUGGAAGAAAAUUAAAGGUUCUAAGUUGGAAAUUUUCUGAAACCUUUUUCUGCAUUUGCAGCACCUGUGAUUGGCACCAACCUUUCCGGAUGUCAGUAAACACUAAACACACAUUAAAAUCGUUCUAAUCUAAUGACAGAUGCUAGCAAUGAAUACCAAGUCCCGUCAUAGGCAACGAAACGGAUUCGUCCACAUUAUCUAUAUCAAUGUGGCUUCAGCUGCCAAAUCCAUCUUCAGUACAUAUCGCCAGACCUAAUCUUUAGAGUAAACUCCCAACUAAACUCAUAUAUUUAUUAUUCUUCAGCUGACAACACGUUGACAUGAGUUGAUAUUGAUAGGUGCCGCUGAGGUCUGAGGGAGUAGGUGACGCAUUUAUCUAAUUUAAUAUUUAUCCAUACAUUUUUUUAGAGAGCCUUUUCAGUAGUUUUUCAUUAGCUUAUUACACGAAAAUUGGGGUGGGGUAGACCAAUAGCACACAAGAUUAGUUGAAUUCUUUCAGUAAGUUGUGUUUCCAAGAGGAAGAUGAUGAGAUAGAGCCGUAGGGCGCAAUUUUACCUUCAGUGUGUAUAGAGAUUGGGCUUUUGAACCCUCGUAGUGUUUCGUAAUUCCAAGGUAUGUGGAGGGGAGUAACGGAUAAGUUUUUCUUCUACUUAAGUCCUCGCUGGCUCGUUAUUUUUUUUUUCAACAUCAAUAUUUAAAAUUGUUAUUGUUUUUUAAGUGGUCAGAGUGGCUUAGAGUUUUCAUAAGAAAAGAGUAACACUAAUCAUCUUUUUAAAGACAUUUCAGCAGCCGGACAGCAGCGCUUGGGCAUGGAGAUAGAUGUAAGGAAAAAUACCCAUUCGGUAAGGGUGAGGCCAAUCUGCAAGUUAUUAUAAAAAUUGUUAUAUUGAUGCAUCGGAAAAGAGGAACAAACUGGCCGCCUCACGAAUUUUACCUGCAAGGCUGCAACUACGCGUGAAUUUUUCAUUCAAAUUCAACACACCCCACACUCAACCCACCUACCUUUUCAGCUCAGCCGGCUCAGCUAAUCAACGCCACGUUCCUUUAUUUGGUGACAGCCCAGUCGAAUGUUAGCUGCAUUACGAUUAAAAAGAAAACACAAAUCCGAAAUCCCCAACAACUUAUCGUUUAUCCUGCCUCUUGGUUGUGAUGUUAUCACGAGAAGUUAAUUAUUGUGACAGCAGUCCCGGAGCAAGCCCAGAAUGGAUUCUCGUUUCUGCCGGUUUGUAGAAUGUAUUUUUGAUUUUAUGUUUUUGCUUUGCUGAAAGGAGAAAUGGAAUGAGGAACUGCCACUUCACCUCAUAGGUAUUCCAGUUGCUGCUGCUCUAUAAUGGGCAACCCAAUUAAUAUUUUUUACUUUACUCUUGUGCCUUGUCAAUCCAAAUCAGUUCAAACGUCUGACACUAUUUACGAAAUCUAACAUCUGAACUUUUUAUUCCCAAGACAGAGAAAGGCAAAGCAAGCAGCCAUAAAAAUGUCUCACCACGAUCACCCUUAAACAAGUUUCAACAAACUCGGUAUUUACCAGGAGGUGGUUUGAAGGAUGUUGACAAACAGAAUUACAUUUCAGUUACAUAAAUGAAGUGUAGAUCAAAGGUUUCAGUCCUCAAGUCAACCACCUGUUACACUGUCGAUGACAUCACUAACAUGAUUUCUGCCACCCACCGCAACGGCCAGGGCUCCUGUUUAUUGUGUAUCUGAAGCAGUGAUAAAGUUAUUGAAAUUCUAUGGGUGCCAAUCCCUGCAGUUCUCGCCUCUCAAAAGGAAGCACUCAACAAACCUCCAAUGACAGGAGUAGUUAAUUUCAGCAAGCAUCAACAACAACAAAGAAGUUCCAGUUAUUCUUCAAUAAUUGCUAUUUAGAAGUUUAUCUUCCCGUAGUUGCUAUCCGAUGUGGCAUGCUGUUGCAGCCUAAGCUGAUGAAAGAUUUUUUUGCAUCGAAGUUAACCAGUGGCUGUUCCUUGUUACGGAAGUUGCAACCAAUAUUUUGUAAAUUCUGCAGUUUACCGUUUGUAUGAUAAGAAGGAACAGAAAUAUGGGAGUGUUUAUGUCGAGCAAAUAAUAAACAUUGCUUCGCGAUUGGGAAAGCAACGAGGGGAAAGUUGGGAGGUGGGUGGGAGAUGUGAUAAAUAAAAUAAAAGUUUUGUGUUUAUCAAAGAAACUGACGCGGUAAGUAGAAUAUCAGUUUCUAACCAUUAACCGUCCAAAAAUGAAAAACUCCUCAUCCCAAAGAAAUUCCUUACACCACAUUCAUAAUUAGUUGAAAGUGAAACCAUACAUGUCUAUGAAUUUUUAUUACAUCAUAACUGUUAUUACUAAAUAUUUGUAUUAAAAACAUACUGUUAUAUUAUUUAAAUAAAUAAUAAUUCAAUAGCG